AGUUCAAGUAAAGCGAAAGAUGGAAGAAGGAGAAUUCAUGAAGUAAAUCAGUGAAUUGAAAAUCAUAGUACAGUCGAUUUAAGUAUAUGACUUGUAAUAUUGAGGAGAAAUCAUUCUGGGUUGAACUGGGAGCCGAUUUAUUAGUCGAGGUGAAAACAUUGCAAAUAGGCAUCUGGCGAAUGUCAAAGAUUUGGUGAUAGCUUCAAGAAUGAAAAAUCCAUUUUAAUUGGGAAGGUCAUUGAAGAUGCAUCAUUAUAUUCCAAACCAUGUUACAGGUCAUUUUUUUUUAACUCGAGUGGGUGAGUUUUUCUAUGUGAACCUUGUAAAAUUGAAAAACACCAUGUCUUGUAUACACCACACUUUAAUAAAAUAAUCAAAUAAACAAACCGAAUGUUUCCUGUAAUUUAGGGAACCCAAGUGUCAAAGAUAUAACAUAAACUUUGGGGGCUACUUUGUGGACUUUAAGAAUCAUAUGUGAGGUAACAUAUUCACAAGUUCAUGUAUCAUUUAAUGUAGUUUUUUAAAUUCACAAG